GAUUAAUCAAAUUAAACGAUAGAAAGAGGAUUAGGUUUACAUGUUUGUGUCUAUUGAGAUAUCUCACGUUCAUCUUCCUCACAACAAAACGGCGCCGGAGCUCAUGCCUCUCCUUCUUCAACGUGAACGGCGCGGCGGCCACUCUCUCCAUCUCCGAUCAAACUUCUUACCGCACAGUUCCUCCCUCUAUUCGACCGUGCGUACACUCCGGCUACCACAACUUCAAGACUCCUUCGCCUUCCUCUCAUCUCAUCAUCAAUCAGACCGCUCGUCAAGUGCAACGAUCUAUCGGUGCUCGUCCGAUCUGCCUCCGACGAUGGCAAAGUGAAAAUAGAAGACCAGAUGUCCUUGCUCAGAGGUGGUGAAGUGCGGUGAUGCUGAGAUUGGAGAGGAUUUGUGAAGAGCGUUUGGAGCGUUUUUCCCGAUUAUUGAAUGAUUGAAGUUGGAGAGAAGGAUUGGAGAUGAAGAAUUCUGUUGAGGAAGAUUGAAUAAUUUCGUUUACGCUUGACGCUACAAGAUCGACGUUACAAGAUCGACGGAGGUUCACGUUAUUGCUGCUAUGAAGCAAAGUUGAAGGAAUCAUGAAGGUUGAUGAUGAAGAUGAAGAGCGUGAUAAAAUUAUGGUUGAAGAAAAUCUCAGAAUUGUUGAACAAUCAAGAAGAUGGAUGAAGAUUGGGGACGAAGAUUCAAUAGGUUCCGAGAGAGUUUGUUACAAGUUUUUUUGUGGACUGCAUUGUGUUGAACCCGAUUCUUACUUUCUACGGCGCUGGUUUGAUGGCUCGGAACUGCAUAUUCUGAAGGAAAGCACACCAUUGAUGAAAACUUAGGAUUAGAAACACUAGGCCAAAGCAAUUUUUCGUGUAAUUUUUGUAAUGGGCCUUUGUACUUUGUAGUGUAUGGACCCUUGUAAUUACAACUGCCUUUGAAUGAAUGUUUGAACAUAGUCUUGUAAAUUUUUGUAAAUUUUCUCUUAUGAAGAACUUUGAUUCUAA